rnacentral:rRNA from 1 species
AACGAACGCUGGCGGCAGGCUUAACACAUGCAAGUCGAACGGUCUCUUCGGAGGCAGUGGCAGACGGGUGAGUAAUGCAUGGGAAUCUACCGUUCUCUACGGAAUAACUCAGGGAAACUUGUGCUAAUACCGUAUACGCCCUUUUGGGGAAAGAUUUAUCGGAGAAUGAUGAGCCCAUGUUGGAUUAGCUAGUUGGUAGGGUAAAGGCCUACCAAGGCGACGAUCCAUAGCUGGUCUGAGAGGAUGAUCAGCCACACUGGGACUGAGACACGGCCCAGACUCCUACGGGAGGCAGCAGUGGGGAAUAUUGGACAAUGGGCGCAAGCCUGAUCCAGCCAUGCCGCGUGAGUGAUGAAGGCCCUAGGGUUGUAAAGCUCUUUCACCGGUGAAGAUAAUGACGGUAACCGGAGAAGAAGCCCCGGCUAACUUCGUGCCAGCCGCCGCCGUAACAC